UUAUAUGGCAAGCAUUUGUACCACACUCCCUUGUGACAUAGCCCAGCCCAUCAAAGGUCUGUACCACACCCUCUUGUGACAUAGCCCAGCCCAUCAAGUACCAGCAUCCUCCCAGGUGUAUGUUAGCUUCCUCCAGCUGUGGGCCGCGUUGGGUGCCAGAAGUGCUUCUCUGUCCUCUGUUUCCUCCCUCAGGGUGUCCAGGCACCAGGCUUGAAGGAUGAAGUGGAGUCUGGAACAGGAGGAGACACUACCCUCUUGUGACACGUCUAGGAAAGAACUCUAAAGUUCUCUAAAGGAACGGGCACCCAACUUCCAUCUGUCACCACCUGGGCUAUGAGCCACAAUAUGUUUGUACUUGGAGCACUGUACCCACUUGAGCCAUGUGCUCAGCAGCAAUGUAAACAACCAGUCAGCAGCAAAAAUAACAAAACCUGUUUCAGAAAAACAAGAGGGGAUAGUAAGUAGUCUAAGAAGCUGAGCCUGAGAGACUCAGAGUUGAACAAGCCAGAUCCUUAUCUUGUUGGACUUGAAGAAGUAGGAACAGAGGAGGACACUCUCUACCCCCACCCCUACUUCCUGCAAGAAACAAAUUAAUGAGGAAAACAAGAGGACAUUUGUUCAUAGUUUUAUGGGACUCUGGAGCCUUCAGCUGGGCCACCCACACUGGACUCUUGCUUCUAGUGCUGCUACUUCAAGAAACAAGGACCACCACGUGCGUGGACACAAGGAGCCCUGCGCUGGGGAGACCAAGCCAGGCCUGCCUGUCUCCAACCUCCUUGACUUCUCUACUGCCACAGUUUUCAUUCCAAGGGUGGGUCAGGACCCUUAGUUUCUAUAUGGAUAACUAGUACAGCAAGAUGGAAGAAAUGUUAAUGUAAUUUUUGUUUUGUUUUGUUUUAUAGCUAGGGCAGCAGGUUUUGGCUUCUCUGGCCCACAUUGGGGAUGAAAUACAAACAGUAUUAAUGGCAGAAAAAUCAGUACAAAGAGAAUUCAAGCAAACCUUCAAUAAAAAGCCAAAGGUUGAAGUCAGGCAGUUCUAGUCCUUAGAGCUCGGCGGUGAGGAAGAUGCUGCUGAGCUUGGAUGACUCAGAAUCAACACACAUUAAAUAGGAACUUAAUAACAAGUGAUAUUUGACAACAGAAACAAUUUUUUAAGAUUACAAAUGAAAACUGUCAGUAUAACUGCACCUGAAGUACUUAUAAAUGGAUUGUC
rnacentral:lncRNA from 1 species